UUUUAAAUUGCUGUGGUAUUUUGACUAUACAAAGGUAUUGAAAUAAGGUUUUAAUUGAAUGCUAAGAGAAUGGAAUUACAGAAAAUGACUUUUUUAAAUUCAAAAUUUGAAUUUAUUUUUAUUUGUGAAGAAACAAUAAUUUACAUUAAGGACAAGAAGACCCUAAGAAUUUUAAAAGAAAAUAAAAUUUACUUAAUUUUGAAUUCUUUUUAAUUGGGGCGAUUAAAAAAUAUUAAAAACUUUUUUUAAAUUAAAAUGAACCGUUAUUAACGGUUAAAUGAUAAAAAUACUCUAGGGAUAACAGCGUAAUAAUUUUUGAUAGUUCUUAUAGACAAAAUAGUUUGCGACCUCGAUGUUGGAUUAGGAUACUUUUUUAAUGAAGAAGUUAAAAAAAGAAGUUUGUUCAACUUUUGAAAUCCUACUUGAUCUGAUUCC
rnacentral:rRNA from 1 species